UACGUAGGGUGCAAGCGUUAAUCGGAAUUACUGGGCGUAAAGCGUGCGCAGGCGGUUUUGUAAGACUGUUGUGAAAUCCCCGGGCUUAACCUGGGAAUGGCGAUGGUGACUGCAAGGCUAGAGUUUGGCAGAGGGGGGUAGAAUUCCACGUGUAGCAGUGAAAUGCGUAGAUAUGUGGAGGAACACCGAUGGCGAAGGCAGCCCCCUGGGUCAAAACUGACGCUCAUGCACGAAAGCGUGGGGAGCAAACAGG
rnacentral:rRNA from 1 species